rnacentral:rRNA from 1 species
UACGUAGGGGGCAAGCGUUGUCCGGAAUCAUUGGGCGUAAAGCGCGUGUAGGCGGCCAGAAAAGUCCGCUGUGAAAACUCGAGGCUCAACUUCGAGCUGUCGGUGGAAACUUUCUGGCUAGAGUCCGGAAGAGGAGAAUGGAAUUCCUGGUGUAGCGGUGAAAUGCGUAGAUAUCAGGAGGAACACCGAUGGCGAAGGCAGGUCUCUGGGCUGACACUGACGCUCAUGCACGAAAGCGUGGGGAGCAAACAGG